GGUCUGACUACUGGACCUGUGAAGACUGGGACAAAGGGAGUGGGGGCGGUUUCACGAGCGAGAGAGAGGAAGAGGGAGAGAGGAAGAGGGAGAGAGAAUGUAACACUGUAGUUGGGCUCCCCGCUGCUCUUGGUCUCUGCAAGACCCAAGAUGGCGGACGUCUGGGCAAAGGAAACCCACGUCACGAAGACGCGCCGUCUCUUUAACACCACGUGGUUACACUCUACGGCUGCGUUCUAUACUAAUCAAAAUUGCACAUUAGACUUAACUGAACCGGGAGGAAUCAAUCCAAUUUGAACUCCUUGGCCAAGCCUCCGUUUUAAUAUGCAACUAAACUAGAUUAACGUUAAAAACCUGACCUUUCCUCCCCCCACCGUAAAGAGUUUGGAAGUUCAUGGUCGGUGAUAAAUAUACCUUAUGGUGGCCCGGCCGGACUUCGGAGCUUAUCACCACUUACCCUAUGUUGGCCCGGCUGAACUCGAAGCUUAUCAACAUUUACCUUAUGAUGGUCUCGGCUUAACUUCGAGACAUUCACCAAUUACCUUAUGAUGGUCUCGGCUUAACUUCGAGACAUUCACCAAUUACCUUAUGAUGGUCUCGGCUUAACUUCGAGACAUUCAUCAUAUAACACAAAAACCACCUACCACGUGGUACAGACAGACACAGAGACAGAGACAGACAGACAUAACACACCGGGGGUCCCUUUGUGCAGGCUACCAUUGCCUUACCAAACAGCCAGGAGCGCCCAGGUAAACAAAGGGAUGGGGAGAGGGGGGGAGAGGGGGGAGAGGGGGGGAGGGGUACUCGUGUGUAGGGGGCCUGGAGGGGGGGCGGUGGGGACUUCACGUGUGUAGGGGGUCAGGGCAGAACGACCGGACGGUGGCUAAAACAAACUUACACCUAAAUGUUCUUAUAACCAAUCCUAUUUCAGAUUUAAUCUUUAAAACAAUGAGUUAUACUUACCUCAGACGUGCGGGCCUGUUGAAGUUGUUUUAGCGUCGCGCCCGCCGGGAUUUCUCGGGACUUUCUUCCAAACGUCGGUGGUCGCCA